rnacentral:rRNA from 1 species
UACGAAGGGGGCUAGCGUUGUUCGGAUUUACUGGGCGUAAAGCGCACGUAGGCGGAUCGUUAAGUCAGGGGUGAAAUCCUGGAGCUCAACUCCAGAACUGCCUUUGAUACUGGCGAUCUUGAGUCCGGAAGAGGUGAGUGGAACUCCUAGUGUAGAGGUGGAAUUCGUAGAUAUUAGGAAGAACACCAGUGGCGAAGGCGGCUCACUGGUCCGGUACUGACGCUGAGGUGCGAAAGCGUGGGGAGCAAACAGGAUUAGAAACCCCUGUAGUCC